rnacentral:rRNA from 1 species
GCUUACGGCCAUACCACCCUGAGAAUGCCUGAUCUCGUCUGAUCUCGGAAGCUAAGCAGGGUCGGGCCUGGUUAGUACUUGGAUGGGAUUCUGCCUGGGAAUACCAGGUGCUGUAAGCU